rnacentral:lncRNA from 1 species
AUGACUUGGGUUUUGUGAAAUAAAAUAGGAUUUAUGUUUUGGGUGAUUUCAAGAGUUUUGUAAUAGAUCUACAAGUGAAAUUUUGUGAAUAAAUGGUUAUAGUUGUGUUCAAUAUGUGUUGUAAAUUUGAGCUUGAUCGAAGGAUUGGAUUGAGGUUAUUGAGGUUUAAGUAGGUCAAGGUCUCAAAAAGUAGAAUUUUAGAUCCAAUAAGGGUUUUUAAGAUUUCUUACAAUCUACUAGUUGGAUUAAAGUUAAAUUUAUAUGAGAGGAUAUAAGACUUAUUUUCCUAUGUGUAUGAGAAUUUUAAAAUCAAUCAAAUGGUGAAAAGAAGAGAUAUUGGCUUUGGAAAAUUAGUAUCAAGGUCGGAGAAGGAGGUCGCCUAAUAUCUAAGCACGUUUUUGAGGCUAUUGUCUACUGAGUAAUUUCGAUCAUUUUUAAAUUUUUUUAUUCUUGUUGUAAAUUUAAUUAUUAAGAAUCAUGCAAAUUUUGAAUUAAGAUCAACGAUUCAUUCAUUAGUAAUUGAGGUUUAAAUCUGUUGUAGAAAUUAUUAGGGUUUGAUUUAGGGUUUAAGAUUUGGUUAUGGUUUGAUUUAGGAUUAGAGUUUGAUUAAGACUUUAGGAUUUGGUUUAGGAUUUAAGGUUUGGUUAAGAUUUGGUUUAGGAUUUAGGGUUUGGUUAAGGUUUGAUUUAGAAUUAGGAUUGAAUUAGGAUUUGAUUUAUGGUUUAGAAUUUGAUUAGGAUUUGAUUUAGGAUUAGGAUUUAUUUAAGGUUGUUUAGGUUUUGAUUAUGGUUUGCUUAGGGAUUGUUUAGAGUUUUUUAGGAUUUGUUUAGAGUUUUUUUAGGAUUUAAUUAAGAUUUGUUUAGGAUUGUUUAGAGUUUGGUUAGGAUUUGGUUAGAAUUUAUUUAGGAUUGUUUAGAGUUUGGUUAGGGUUUGACUAGGAUUUGAUUAAGGUUUAUUUAAGUUUUGAUUAGGAUUUGGUUAGGAUUUUUAAGACUUGUUGUUGCAAUUUUUUCUUUUAUCUUCUACAGCUAAGUGCUUGGUGUAUUCUCAAGCCAAACGCCACGUAAUACAACAACGGUUCAUGAUAAUACCACAUAUUCAUGAAGGAAGUUAGAUGGUAUGAGGUUGAAGUUACCUAUUGCUGAAAAGCAAGACAAGAUUUUUAAAAGAUGAGAUAGAAAAAUCAAUAUAGAAGAUCAUGCUAAAGAUAUCAAUAUUUUUAAAGAAUAUAAUUGUUUUGAAGAGGAUGAUGAAAAUAGAAAUGAAAUAUUUGAUGAAGAAAAUGGAGAGAUGGUGUGACUCCAAUUAUGGCAUAUGGUUCAUUUGGCACAUGUCAGAGGAUGCACAAGUUAAGAAGAGGUGGAUGUCAUGUUGUGACAUGAUUAUAUAGUGAAAAUAUGACUAAAAAUAAUUGUUUAAUUUAUACUCUAUUAUAUUAAUUCAACAAGAAUUCAAAAUAUUUUAAUAAGGCUUUUAUGAAACCCUCUUAGCCUAUUUUCUUGCUUUAACAAUAAGUAGAUAAAAUUUAAUUAAUAUUUUUACCUUCUAGGAUAUAAAAACUUUUAUACUGCCUUAGAAAGACCAUAAAUUAUUAAAAUCAAGGUAGAAGAGAUAAAUAGUUGGUAUAGCUGAUACUAGGAUCAAGUUGAAGGUAGAAUUGGGCUAAAAAAUCCUUAGGAUAGAUUACAUUGAUACUCGAGGGUCGACCAUUUGUGAGAUGGAAUCAAAAUUUGAUAUCUAGUUACUAAAAUGAUUACCUAAGAAAAAUUAGGAUUUUAUUCAAAGAUUGGAGAUUAGGAUUUGACAGCUUGCUUUAAGCUCUUUUUGAAGGCAUAAGAAUUAUUUUUGUAGGAUUUUUGAAGACUUGACAAUUAAUAUUCAAAAUCAAGAUUUGUAUUGGUGAUUUGGAUUUUAUAUAAUAUAUUUAGGGCUAGCAAUUUUGACUAGUUUAUGCAAUUAGUGUAGUAUCUAUAGUUCAAAAUUUAGUACUGGUUGGAUUAUUGGGUAUUAAGUGUCUAUGAAAUUUUGUGAUAAUCUAAUAGUGUGGUUUAGAAAUAUUUGGUUUUUAAUCCAAGAGGAUUUUGGAAGUUGGUAGUUUGGGAUUGGGUAGGAUUUCUAUGAUAUCCGGAGAUCUAUCAAUCAGAUCAAGGUGAAAUUUGGCAUAGUGUUGAAGGACUUAAAGAUGAAGCUAUAUACCAAUUUUGAGUUAAAGUUAACGGUUGGAGAAGGAGAAAUCACUACUAGGAUUUUUGCUUCACUUUUCAAGUUGGCAGCCAAAUGACAUUAGUGCAAUUUUUGGAAGUUUUCUCAUAAUUUGUAAGUUGGAUUGGGCUGAAAGUUCUUGAGUGUAUAGAAAAGUUACAUUGAAAAUUGCAUGCAAAAUUUUAUUUCAAGUAGAUGGUCAGAUUAGAAGUUAUAACUUAUUAAAGCUCACUAAUUACGAUUGGAGCUUAUAAGAAAAAUCUAAAUUACUUAAGUAUAAAAUUAAUAAGGUAAUUGGGAUUGAUGUAUGAUUAAGACUAUUAAAAAAUGUAUUUUUAGUACUUUUGCAUUACAAUUUGGAUUACAUUCUUCUCAUAUGGAUAAAAUCUAUUAAGAUUUGUUGGAUACUUGUGAAAUACAACUUCACCUUUCAUAGCUAGGUGCUUGGUGCAUUCCUAAAUAAGACAACAUAUAAUAUGACAAUAUUUGACUUGUAAAGAAAAACUUCAGUGGAAUAAAGAAGUAGAAGCAUUGUUUCAUACUUUAAAGAAAGAGUUUACUUCUGUACCAAUCUUGUAUAGUAUCAAUUUUUAUAAGGUAUUUUUUAUAAAAACAAAUGCAUCAAACUUUGCUAUAAGUGCCAUAUUGUCAUAAAUGGAAAGAGAUGACAAACUCCACCUAGUAGCUUUUCAUUCUAAAUUUUUUUUAAUAGUUGAGAUUAAUUAUGAGAUCCAUGACAAAGAGCUCCUUGCAAUUGUGGAUUCAUUUCAAGAAUGGCAUCAUUAUUUAGAAGGCGCUUCAAGUCUAGUUACCAUGUAUAUGGAUCAUAAGAAGCUCAAUUACUUUAUAUCAACACGUGUUUUGAAUUGUCAUCAAGCCCGUUGGAGCAUGUCUUUAUCCAGAUUCAAUUUUAAGAUAACUUAUCUACUCAAAAAACAACAAGGUCUAUCAGACGCCUUUUCUCGAUGUUCUUAUCUUACACCAAAAGAAGGAGAUGCAUCUUUUGAUCAACAAAGAAUGAUUCUCUUGAAGCCUAAGUAUUUCUAUCUUUGAGCAAUAAAAUCAAUAUUAACUGUUGAUUCAACCUUUAUGAAGCAAAUCCAAUUAAGUAUGUCCUCUAAUCCUCUUGUUCAUGAUAUCAAGAAUCUUUCUUCUAAGUCUUAUGAUAUUUCAAAGUUCGAGUUCAAGAACAACCUUUUCUAUUUCGAAAGAUGCUUAUAUGUUCCAAAAAGAAUAGCACAUUUACAUAUUCUUUAAGCACGUUAUGACUUUUCAACAACAAGAUUUUUUGGAUACAAGAAGACUUUAAAGCUUAUAUCAAGAGAUUUUUGGUGGCUAGAAAUGAGAAAGGUGAUAAAAGACUUUAUACAAUCAUGUGAUACUUGUUCAAGAUCCAAAACUCCUCGCCAUCCAGCUUAUGAACUUCUUCAACUGUUACCAAUUUUAAAACAACCAUGGUCUUCUGUUUCUAUCGAUUUUAUCACGGAUCUUCCAAUCUCAAGUUAGUAUAAUUCCAUAUUCAUAAUUGUAGUUUGCUUCACCAAAAUGGCACAUUUUGUACUAUGUACAAAAUCUAUUUCAAGUCAAGAAAUAACUAAGAUUUUUAUUGGCAAUAUCUAUCACUAUCAUGCAUUGCCAAAGGAUAUUAUAUCUAAUAGAGGGAUUCAAUUUGUAUUAAGAUUUUGAAGAACUCUAUUUAAGAUUCUAAAGGUGGAUAUAAAGCUUUCUUCAAUUUUUAUCCUCAAAUUGAUGGGCAAACAAAACAAGUGAAUCAAGUUUUAGAGUAGUAUUUGAGAUGUACCAUCAACUAUCAUCAGGAUAAUUGGACAACUCUUUUACCAUUAGUAUAGUUUACAUACAAUAAUUUGGUACAUUCUUUUACUCAACAAACACCUUUCUUUGCCAAUUAUGGUUAUUAUCCACAACUUGAUAUUUUUGACUUUUCAAAAGUUGUUAAUCCUACAGAGGAAGAUUUAACAAAUCAUUUAUUAGAGCUACAUACAAUAAUGAAUAUACAAUUAAAAGAAGUUCAAGAAUGGCAAAAGACCAACGCGGUUGCCUAUGGCAAAGAACAACCCCAAUUUAAUAUAGUCAACAAGGUAUAGUUACUUCAUCGCAAUAUCAAGACUACUUAUCUUUGUGAUAAGUUGGACUAUUGUAGGCUGGGACGUUUUUCUAUUUGUGAAUAAAUUAAUCUUCUUGCUUAUCAAUUACAUCUAUUGGUGUCGUAUCAUAUUUGAGCAUAAUAUAUAAAAACUAAAUAAGAAUUAUUAAAUCUAUUAGUUCUUAACUUAUGUUUUCUUAUUUAAUAAAAUAUUUUAAAAAAUGAUUAGAAAUAAGAAUUAAUUAUUUAAUUAAGUAUUAGAUUAGAAUAAAGAUUAAUAAAAAACAUAUAUAAUUGAGUGAAUUUUAUUAAUAAUAAGUAUUAUAGUUGAUAGAAAUUAAAAAAUAAGUUUAUACAAGGAAAAAUUACGAUUUAGGAUAAUUAAAAUUUUAAAGUAUCCAUUCAAUAUAAAAAUUUUUAGACAUAUUUUUAAUAGAUCUAUAAAUAGAUAUAUAAAAUUUUAUAGAAAAAUAAAUUAUGAUUUGUGAGAAAUAGAGAUUUAAAGAAAGAAAAGAUGUCGGGUAGCUAGAUUAUAGGGAUAAGAAUUGAGGCUAUGGACAUCAAGUGGUGACUUGGAUUUGUGGAGAUGGAUAGAUGAUAGGAUGCUUGGGUGGCAUCUAGGAGGUCUUCAGUUUGAAUCUCUAUGUUGGCACAUGGAGAGGAGAUAAAAGAAUAAUAUUCUCUAAAAAUCCUCAAUUAAUUUAUUGAAGAUAUUUAGAGUGUUGGCUCCACAAUGCUUGCAUUAGAGAAUUAUGUUGAAUGAGAAGGACACUUGUCACCUAUGGGUGGGAGCAAGGAAUCUCCCUUAAUAGUAGCAUGAUGUGUGAUGCCUAUACCUUAUAUAUGUUCAUCUUCCUAAUAGAUUGAUAUAUAGCUUCUCCUAAAAAGGAAGAAGCCACAAGUUGGUAGUGGCUUAAAGUGCAAUGGCAUCAAUCCUUUGGAAUCCUCAAUACUACAUUUUUUUUUUUUUUUUUUUUUUUUCAAGACAUAUACAUAUUCAAAAUAUAUAUAUAUAUAUAUAUAUAUAUAUAUAUAUAUAUAUAUAUAUAUAUAUAUAUAUUCAAAAAGGAUUAAGGUUUAGAGUUUGGGAGUAGGAUUUAGGGUUUGGAAGUAGAAUUUAAGAUUUAAGAUUUAGAAGUAGGGUUUAGGAUGGAAAAUUUUGAAAAACAAAAGGGCAAUCGGCUUAGGAGGGAGAUAUAAGGACUCUUGAGGGGAGUUUUGGCUCUCUUAUAUUUUAUUUUUUUUUACAAAUAUUUAAAGAAAGAAACUUUUUGAUAUGAGAAUAACUAAAUUUAGAAAAGAUUCAUAUUUUAUAGAGUGUUAUGAAUGUUCUAGAAUUAUAAUAUAGUAGAGCAAUCAGUAGUAGUAAGAAGCCUAGUGUUUUCUUAAGGCAAACUCUGUUUCGACGACAUUGGAGUUUAUUAAGUUCUACCUUGUAUUUUACAUGUCUCUUUUUGAGCCAUUUAAGAUAGUGAAUAUUUUGAAAAGAAGACAAACGCCGCCUCCUUCUAUAAAAGUAGAUAAUAAUUAAGAGUUUGAGGUGGAAGAAGUCUUAGACUCAAGGCGAUACCAAAAUAGGUUGGGAUAUCUUGUUCAUCAACACGGAUAUGAUAUUAAUGAACGUACAUGGGAGCCAUCAAAAAAUCUUGUAAAUGCAAUAAAAAAAGUUGAAGCUUUUUAUCAAUGAAAUCCAUCAAAAUCAAGAUAAAAAAUAGCAAAUCUUUGCUAUAAAAGAAACAAGAUCAAAGGAAGAUAACAUUCUACCUUCUAUCUUUCUUUGUAGUUUAUGUGUAUUUGUAACGCUAAGGAGAUGGAGAACCAACAACUAACAGACUCAACUCAAGAGCUUUCAUUUGCGGACUUAUCAAAUGAAAUAUUGUAAUUAUUACAACAUUCAAGAUAAUAGAAUCUAAAUGAAGAUUCUCAAGAAUAACAUAUCUUUUCUUGAAUAGAUGGUAAAAUACAACAUGUUUAGUAUUACGACUUUGGAAGAGACUCUUGUUGUCUGGUGAUUUUAUUAGAGGUAUGAAUAACUCAUGAUGAUAUUCCAAAUGCUUUAUUUGAAGGAAGUUACAAAGGCCUCAAUAAUGACCAAAUAAUAGGGUGGUUAUCUCAUCCUAGUAUGGGACACCAUUGAUGGAUGAGAGGGCUUAUCAACCACCUUCAAAGAGAGCAAAGAUCAGAGUAUGUAACAAAUAAAAUUUUCCACAUCUUGGACUUCUUCAACAUAUGAAGACUGCUCCUCUUAGAAUUCGUCCCUAGAGGGGGGGGGAUAAUAUCAUGGACAUCUACAUUUAUAUCAAUAGUUACUUAUAUGAUUAGAUAGAAGUAGGUAAAUAUAGAUUAAUUUCAUAAAGUCUUUUAGUGAAGCUUCUUAAAAGCUUCAUAGAUGCGAUGUUAUAAUACAUAAAGUCUUGCUUGAAAAUGCUCCAGAUACUUGAUUGUGGAAGAUAGAAUGGAAAUUAUAACAAAAAAAUCCUAAUUCUAAUAAAACACUAACUAAACUAUAAUGAGACCAUAUCAAUGCUAACCAAACUUUAAUCAAAUUCAAAGAAACGUCAAAGGAAUUACAAAGAAAUAAUAAGAAAUCUUAAAGAAAUAUUUGAAUAAUCACAAAUAUAUGUCAAAUAUAUCUUAAUUUAAUCCUAGUUAAAAACUUAUUAGACUUCAUUCAAACUUUAAGCCAAAAAUUAAUUAAAUCUUAAAUCCUAAAUAAAGCCUAAUAAAAUCCUAAAUCCUAAACCAAAUUCUAAAUCCUAAACCAAAUCUUAAUCAAAUCCUAACCAAAUCUAAAUCCUAAAUCAAACUCUAAUCAGAUCCUAAAUCCUAAAUAAAAUCCUAACCAAAUCUAAAUCCUAAAUCAAAUCCUAAUCAAAUCCUAAAUUCUAAACCAAAUCCUAACCAAAUCCUAAAUCGUAAAUCAAAUCCUAAUAAAGUCCCAAUAAUUCCAACAAUAGAUUUUAAUUUCAAUAACUAAUGAAUGAAUUAUCGAUCUUAACUCAAAAUUUGUAUACUUUCUAACAAUUAAGUUCAUAAAAAGUACAAAAAAUUAGAAAAAGAUCAAAAUUACCAAAUAGAUGAUAACUUCAAAAACGUGUUUGGAUAUUGACCAGUUUUCAUCUUCAAUCUUGAUGCCAAUCUCUCAGAGCCAAUAUCUCUCUUUUUCAUCAUUCAAUUGAUCUAAAAAAAUUUAUAUACAUAGAAAAAUAAGUCUACUAUCUUUAUCUAUAAAUUUCACUCCAAUCCAACUACUAGAUUGUAAGAAAUCUUAAAAACCCUCACUAGACUUAAAAUUCUACUUUCUGAGACCUUGAGCCAUUUAAACCUCAAUAAUCCUCAAUUUAGUCAUUAGAUCAAGUUAAAAUUCACAACACAUAUUAAGCACAACUACAACCAUUAAUCCAUAAAAUUUCACCUAUAGGUCUAUUAGAAAGCUCUCAAAAUUGUCCAAAACAUCAAUCCUAUUUUAUUUCACAAAAUCCAAGUCAUCCAAAAACAAACUUGACUUUGUAAAGCUCUUACAAAGUCAUUACAAAUUCAAAUCACACAAAAAAAAUGCUCAUAGAAAUUCUAUAUAGUUUGCUAUCAAAUCCCAUGCUUUGAUUUGUAAAAGAAUCCCUGAUUUGCCGUAGGUGCUUAGUUUUAUGCCUCAGGGUCUGAUUUCGACUCAGGUUGAUAACCAGCCUUCUUUGGAUAUCAAAUUUUAUCUUUUUGAGUCAAUUUUUGUUUAAAUCAACUCCUAAAUUCUUCUUAUAAAUUCUAGUAUCUUUUAUUUUCCUAAUCUACUUUAUUUUGCCUUAUUGAUAAUCCAACAAUAUAAAUAGAAGUCACUUUUCUAGAAAGGUAGUGUAGAAUAGAUAUUAGUUUGUUUUUGUAAGAUAUUGAUGAAAUAGAUUGAUAGUCCAUAGAAUAGUCAAUUCAAGAGGAUGGAUGGUUAAAACAGUUAUUAAAAGUGAUUAUUAUAGGAUUAGAAUUAGGAUCUGGAAAUUAGUAGGAAUUAUAUAGGAGUUGUAGAAGUUUGUUGGGGUCCUAGACUGUGAUAGUCAUGAGCUGGAAUUAAGCUUGGUGCUACCUCUUUGUUUUCUUUGUUGUCUUUGUUAUUGAAGAGUAAUGGAUAGUUUUUGAGUACUGAGAAGUGAGUUUGUGGAAUAAAUCAGAGAUUGAUUUAUGAGUUAUUGAUUAUUUAAUUGGAGUAUUAUGUGAUUGAAUUAUAUGAGAAGUUAUUGGAAGUUUGAUUAUAGAUGAAAGAUUAUGAUUGUUGUUUAUUGAGAGUUGUGUGUGUUUUAGAUUGAGGAAGUUUAUGAUUACAAAAAUUAUAUGAAUCUAGAUUAGUUGGUGUGAAGUCUGUUAUUCUUGGUGUUAGAUGGAAUUUAUGAGUUUUGAGUAGUCUUUUAAGAGUGCAAGUUUGUACACUGUUGUUAUCAGUUGAUGAAGGAGUAUUGUUACUAGAAGAAAGCAUUGUAGUAUUUCUUAGUAUUUUAGUAGUUUGGAAUAUAGUUAAUCGUGUGACCCUAACAAGUAAAGCUCAUGUGCUUAGUCUUUCUCUAUGUUCGAAUUCUCCUAUACAGAUUUAUUCUGAAAAGAAUUUGUAGAAUAAGUAAAACAACAAUUAUAUGUAGCAUUACUUCUAAAAGUUUUACUACCUUCCUAUCUUUUAACCAUAUUUUUCUACUUUAUAUUUUAACUUGGAUCUUCUAUAAUAAGAUCCAUAUUAUCAUCUUUUACCAUAUGGUUGUGUUAUAAUAUGACAUCCAUCCCUUCUAAAUCCAUGCAUCCUCUGGCCUGCACCAAGCUUUCUAUAUCAUUUUUAUGUAGAAUGGCCUUCAUCUUGGUCAAAUUCUUGAUCUUUAAUUUGUUCUUCUCCUCCCCUCUCAAUAUCCCCUAAUAGAUUUUGUUCUUUGUUAAAACAAAUGUCUUCACUUCUUUGUUUAAAGAAUUUGAUUUGCUUGCCUACUAUAGAUAUCUUAAUUCUGUACCAUCAAAUUCUCAUAACAAAUAUAUUCUAUUGUCAUACAUUUAUUUCACAAGAUAAUAUCCAAGCCAUCUCUUUGUAAAUUUUUUAGUCGUACUAUGUUGAUUGUCUAAGUUACUAUUAUAAAUUAACACCCAAUCACCAUUUUCAAUUGCUUUAGAUUAUAGUCGAUGUUUUUUUAUCAAAUCUUUCUUUAUUUCUUUCUCUUGUUUCUUUCAACUUUAUUAUUGCUGCUUCAAUAUCAUUAGAUCUUCUUUUUAAUUACUAAAUCUGUAAUGCUAAAAGUUCUUCCAUAUUGAGAUUAUCCUUCCAAGGCAAUACACUCUAUGUAGGUACUACUUCUUUAAUUGGCAUUAUUGGUUUUUGUCCAUACAUUAGUUCAAAAGGCAUAUAACAUGUUAUUAAACUAUGAGUUGUACAAUCUACCCAUAGUGCAAAUAGAAAUAGUCUAGGCCAUUCAUAUAUUUUGCUAUUGCAUGCCUUUACUAAUGCCUUAACAAUAAGUAAAUGCCCAUGCUCACUCUUCCCAUUAUCUUUUGGAUUAUAUGCUAUUAUUCAUGAAAGUUUAAUUCCUAUUCUACUAAAGAAUUCACAUGCUUUCCUUGCAUCCAAUUCAUCCCUAUCCAUUAUAAUUCUUCCAAUACAACCGUAGCGACAAAUAAUAUCUUUCAAUAAAAAUCAGCAUAUACCUUCAAUAUCCUUUGUUCUUAAUACUUGUCCUUCAACCGUAUUUGAUAAAUCUUCUCAUGUAAGUACCAAAUACUUUAUUUAUCCAAGUUCCAUUGACAUUGCUACCAAAUCCACCACCUAUUUAUAAUGUAAAGCUAAAAGAUAUGUUGGGUGUAAUCUAUCUCGAUGCCAAAUGUUUGAAUAUACUUAACAAGUUUCUCAAGAUCCUACAAAAUUUGCUAUAUCUUUGUGCAUGCCUUUCUGCCAAUAUUUUUCUUUCAACUUAGUAAAUGUUGUCCAAAUACCCCAAUGCCCAGCCCAUUGACUCUCAUGGAAUUUCUUAAUGAACUUUUGUUGCGUCUCAAUCCCAUUUACAACUCAUUAUGGUAUUCUACCCCUUUUUUUUGUAUGGUUCCAUAAAAAUCUAUUUUAAAGAAAAUAUUUAUAUACUUUCUUUCAAAUAUUCUUAAAUUCUUUGUUUUUCCAACCUUCUUGCUGCAUUAAUAUACUUAAGUAUUUUUUUUAUAUACAACCAUUCACCAUCAUAUAAUUCUUUUGAAAAUAAUUUAAAUAGUAUAGCCAAAGACAAUCCAUCCCUUCUUGCAUACAAAGUUGAAUAUAAGUCAGUACUAAGAUUUUCUUCAUCAUCAAUCAUAUCAUUUUCAUCAUUAUAUCCUAUUUGUGACAAUAUAUCUGCAACCGUAUUGUCUUUUUUCAAAAUAUCCUUGAAUUCAGGAUUCAUAGACUUUAUAUAUGCAAUCUACCUUAACAUUGCAAUAUCUCGUGUUGAAAAACUCAUAAUCAUGCCCAAUAAAGGAAGAUAAUUUGUUUCUAUAACUAUCGAUGGACCAAUCAAAUAUUCCCUUUUAUUUUUCGUAGUUGUUACUAUAUCCCAUAAUUUUCUUUUAAUUUGUGCAUAUCUCUUUUGUCUAGUAUUCAAAAUCCUUGCUCCAAACCUUAUUACAUAUUUAUUGCCUUGUUUAUCAUCUUGUCCAAUUGUCCAACCUAUCUCAAUAAGAAUUGCAUCCACUAUUAAUACCAUUGGCCUUUUAUACUCAUAAUUUACUUUCUUCAAAGUUAGAGGUGAAGAAAGAAAUUUUUUAAUUUUUCCAUAGCUUUUCUUUACUCUUCUUUCUAUUAAAAUUUUUGAUUCUUUCUUAACAACUCAUAUAAUGGAUCUACUACAUGUGUAAAAUGUGAUAUCCAUAUAUGAUAGAAAAUACAUGCUCCUAAAAACCUAAUAAACUUCUGUUGUAUUUGUAUAUUCUUUCAUUUUUUUUAUAAUAUCAAUCUUUUUUAUAUUUGGCUUACGUUCAUAUGAUCCAUAUAUAUGUCCAACCACCAAAACUUCUUGAACUCCAAAUAUUGAUUUUAUCCCUAAUAAGGUUAAAUGAACCUCUUCUAAUCUUGUCAAAUCCUUUCGAAUCCAAAGUCUCAUCUUUUCUUUCUUCUUCACAUCCCUUCAUUGGCACAUCAUCUAAAAAAAACAUUGUUAUACUUGGAAUAAAAUUUCUUAAUACCUUAUGCAUUCCAUUCAUCAUAUGUGGUACAGAAUUUGUAGCUCCUUGUAGUAAGGUACACAUUCUGACCAAUCCUAAUAGUGUCUUCAUAGUUGUUAAAUCUCUGCUUUGCAUUGCCAAUUGAAAUUGAUCGUACCUUGAAUAAAGAUUUUUCAUAGAAUAAAUUGCUCUUCUUGCAAAUACCUUUGCAAACUCAUCUACAAAUAGACUUGAGCCCAUGUUUCCAUUAGUUAUCUUAUUUAUCAGUUGCAUAUCUUGAAUAAACCUCAAUGUUCUAUUUUUAUUAGGUAUCAUGAACCACCAAUUAGAAUAUGGACCAAUAGAUGGUUCUAAAAUUUCCAUCUUAAUCUUUUCAUUGAGUAAUUCAACUAGCUUUGGCAAAUAGGCCUUUGGAACUGGAAUUGGCCUCAAAUUCUAUGGUUAAUGUAGAAUUGUAAAAAUAACCAUAGGUGCUACAAUACUUUGAUUAAUGCACCCUAUUUGAGAUGAUUCAAAUGCAAAUGCCUUAUCAUGUUGUAAAAGUAUUUUUUUAAAAUAUCUCUCCUCAUCUCUUGUUAAAAAUUUAUUACAUCCAAUUUUCAAACCAUCUAAUGUCAAAUCAUCCUUAAAUUCAUGACCUAUUUUUCUAAGAUUUCUUAAGUUUGGAUGUAUAGAAGCCCUUUUAAUCCUUUCUUCAAAAUCCAAUAGUAUUGGCAAUGCCAUUAGUUUAACCUUUCUUACAACAAUCUUAUAUUUUGUAUUUAUAUUCACUUCAUAAUUAUGCAUAUAUUUUUAUAUUCCAUCAUAAAAUUUCUUAGAAUGUACAUUUAUUACCUUAUCAUCUCCUUCAAAAUCUUCAUUCAAUAAUAUUUGUAAAUCAUCCAUAGUAUAACCAAAAUAAGAUUCUUCAAAUAUUCUUGAUAUGUAUUCAUCUUCAUUAAUUACACCAUAUUUUUUUAAUUCAUUUUUUAAAUUUUGAUAUUUUUCUUAUCUAUCCUUCUAAAAUUAUUUAUAUUUUUAAAUAUGAUAUAUCCAUCUUUUGAUAAUCCUAUAAUAUUCUAAUCCUUUCUAUUAGACAGGAAGCCUUCAUCCUUUUUACCAUUACAAUUCUACUUUAUAAUGGCAUCUAAUAAAAAUCCUUUGAGUCUUCAAGAUCUUCAAAUUCUUUGUGUAUCUUUGGAAAAGGAUGCUCUCUCAAACUAUCCCGAUUUCUUCUAUGAUUUGUAUGAACUGUUAAAAAUUGCACUGCCUUUUUUCCGUCUUGACUUCUUAUCCUUGCAUAAGCCUUUGUUUCCAUUUGUAUAGAAGUAAUAUAUGGUUGUUUCAAUAUAAUAGGAUAUGUAGACAUGUCUUGUACAAAGAAAUUAUGUUCAUGAAUAACAUCUCUUAUUGUCACCUUGAUAUUUGGACAUGCUCCAUACAAAUCUCUUUUUGAAUUAUUUGUUGAUCUUAUCAUCCACCCAUGUUUAGUAUCAAUAGGCCAUUUUUCCUUAUUAUACAAUUCUUUUGACAUCAGAUUGAUUUCAAAACCAAGAUCAAUCAAUGCUACAACUAGUUCUUCUAAAUUUUCCAAUCUUAUCAAAGUUUCCGUAGUAGCCCUUGCCCAAUGCUUCAUGUUGACUCCUUGCAAUAUGAGAAUGCACAAAUAAUCUAUCUAAUGGAUUAUCCCACCUAACAAUUUAUCAAAUAUUACUACCAAUACGUUUUCAAUCAUCUCUAAUAAAUUUUCUCCUUUCAGCAUAACUCAUUGCACUUGUCCACAAAGAACUAGAUUUUCUUGAAAAUUCAAGAUUUAUACUUAAACAUUUAUUAGGAUCUACUUCCACUCAUUAUAUUGAUGCUUCAUUGCUUGAGAUUUUAUGCACUUUAAAAGUAUUUACGAUAAAAACCUUCAUUCUUCCUUUAUCAAAAUUUGUUUCCAAUUUUUCUCCACUUUCUUUUAAGUGUAUCAUACCAUCUUUAAAAAAAACUCCUUUAUGUAGUGCCUUUAUAAAAUCUUCACAUUCCCUCCUUGAAUGAUCUAUGCUAUUAUACCACAUGCACUUAUGUACUACACCUUCUAUUGGCCUUAGUCUUUGUUUUGUUGAUACUGUUGACGAUUGAUCCUUCUCUUUAAGUUUUACAAAUUUUAUUUGUAAAUCUCUCAUUCCAUAUAUGAUUUCAUCAAUGCCCAUUUCUUCUUUCUUUGAUGUAGCUAUUAAAGGUUGUAUCAAAAAUGUUAGAUGGAUUGUAGACACUUUUUUCUUAGAUGCUUAUAAUGGUCUUUGAAUACCCACCUUGUCUUUUCAUCUUUCUCUUUUUUCCAACAAUCCUACUACCUCCUCUACUUCUUUUUAAUUUAUUGUCAAUCCAUCAUCUUCUUCUUUAUCUUCAAGAAAGAUUUCCAACUUCUCAUGCAACUCUCUAUCAGCCUCUUGAAAAAAGAACUCUACCUUACUUAGAUCAAACAACUGCCUUUCUUUCUUUGAUAAAGAAGAAUAUUGCUUUUCAAACUCUCUUAAUAAUUUUAUUGCUAGAAGUCCCUUUUCUGGCCUUUCAAUCCAUUCAAAAAAAGACUUUUUUGUAACCCUAUUACUAUCUUCCAAGAAAAACUCAUCCUUCAAUGCUUGAGAAAAUUUCUCCUAUAAACCUCCAAAAUGUCCUAUAAGAGACUUUACUUGAUUUUUUAUCUCUAGUGCAGAGGAUAAUUCAAAUAAUUGAACCAUCUCUCUUUCUAAAAUACGUUUCAAUUCCAUUUCAUUUAUAUAACACCUUAAAUAUUUUGUAAUAUCAUUUCUUUCAAAUUGAUUAGUCUUAUCCACAACCACUUGUAAUACUUUAUUUAUCAUACCUUCUUUGCAAUCUUUAACUUGUUACUGUUGCAUAAAUAAGGCAAAAGCCUCAAACAUGCUUAUAGAGUUAGGAUCAAAAUACAUACCUUGUCUUCGAUUAGUUCCACCACUUGUAGCUCCAAUUGAUGCACCAUCCAUAACUCUUCCUUCAACUCUCUUGUCUUUCUUCUCCAUUAUUCAAAUAAUCCAAGAAAACCAAAUACUUUCUACCUCAAACGUUUUAUGUCGGGUUCACCAAAUAUAUCGUAAUAUGUGAAGUCUUGCUUGAGAAUGCUUUGGGUAUCUAAUUGUAGAAGGUAGAAUGGAAAUUGCAACAACAAAAUCCUAAUUUUAAUAGAAUAUUAACUAAAUUCUAAUUAGACCAUAACAAUGGUUAGGAAGCUUUAAUCAAAUUCAAAGAAACCUCAAAGGAAUUACAAAGAAACAAUAAGAAAUCUUAAAGAAAUAUUUGAAUGAUUACAAAUAUAUCUCAAAUACAUCUUAAUUUAAUCCUAGUUAAAAUCUUAUUAGACUUCAUUCAAACUUUAGGCCAAAAGCUAACUAAAUCUUAAAUCUUAAAUAAAUUCUAAUAAAAUCCUAAAUCCUAAACCAAAUCCUAAUAAAAUCUUGAUCAAAUCCUAAAUCCUAAAUCAAACUCAAACUAAAUCCUAAAUCCUAAAUCAAAUCUUAAUCAAAUUCUAAAUCAAAGUCAAACUAAAUCCUAAAUCCUAAGUCAAAUCUUAAUCAAACCCUAAAUCCUAAAUCAUACUCUAAUCAAAUUCUAAUCAAAUCCUAAAUCCUAAAUCAAACUAUAAUUAAAUCUUAAAUCUUAAAUCAAAUCCUAAUCAAAUCCUAAAUCCUAAACCAAACUCUAAUCAAAUUCUAAAACUUAAAUCAAAUCUUAACCAAAUCUAAAUCCUAAAUCAAAUCCUAAUCAAAUCCUAAAUUCUAAACCAAAUCCUAACCAAAUCCUAAAUACUAAAUCAAAUCCUAACAAAGUCUUUGUAAUUCCAACAAUAGAUUUAAACUUCAAUAAUUAAUGAAUGAAUUAUUGAUCUUAACUCAAAAUUUUUGCACUUCCUAACAAUCAAGUUCAUAACAAGCACAGAAAAUUUGAAAUGGAUCAAAAUUACCAAAUAGACAAUAACCUCAAAAAUGUGCUUGGAUAUUGGCCAGCCUCCAUCUUCAACCUUGAUGCCAAUCUCCCAAAGCCAAUAUCUCUCUUUUUCAUAAUUUGAUUGAUCUAAAAAAAUUUAUAUACAUAGAAAAAUAAGUCUACUAUCUUUAUCUAUAAAUUUCACUCCAAUCCAACUACUAGAUUGUAAGAAAUCUUAAAAACCCUUACUAGACUUAAAAUUCUACUUUCUGAGAUCUUGAGCCAUUUAAACCUCAAUAAUUUAGUUGUUAGAUCAAGCUAAAAUUCAGGUUGAUAACCGGCCUUCUUUGGAUAUCAAAUUUUAUCUUUUUGAAUCAAUUUUUUUUAAAAUCAACUCCUAAUUUCUUCUUAUAAAUGCUAAUAUCUUUUAUUUUUCUAAUCUAUUUUAUUUUGCCUUAUUUAUGAUCCAACAACAUAAGUAGAAGUCACUUUUAUAGAAAGGUAGCAUUACUUCUAAAAGUUUUACUAACUUUCUAUCUUUUAUCCAUAUUUUUCUACUUUAUAUUUUAACUUGGAUCUUCUAUAAUGAGAUCCAUAUUAUCGUCUUUCACCAUAUAGUCAUGUUAUAACACGACAACAGUUUUGACUUAAGAUGUAUUUGUAGGUUGGAAACUUUGCCAACAAGUUAACCAUAAGUUAGUAGUUUGUGGAACAAGUUAACUUUGCAUAGUAGCUUGUAGAAUAAGCUAAUCAUCUAACACAUACAUAAAUAAUUUGCCUUAUAAGUUAAGACAUGUAGCUAGCAAAGUCAACAUGUUUUGGAGGACCUAUAGGACAUCGCCAUAUAGCUCCUUCUUAAGAGUAUAUAAAGAGGCAAGAGUAAAGCCUUCUUCUUUCUUGUCAACUCCUUUCUAGUCCUUAGUCUUAUUCCAAGACUUUUUAGUCUUCUUAUUUUUGGCAAUAGCUAUUCUAGUUCAAUAUUAUAUCCUCUUUGAGUAACCUUCUAGCUCUUUUCAAAGAUACAUAAGUGUAUUAAGGAUUUACUUUUGUCGAGAUUAAUGUCAUUGAUAAUUGUUUGCUGGUCUUUUCAUCCAUCUAUAUUUAAUACCAAUAGGCCAUUUAAUCUUUUUAUAUGACUCUUUUGACAUUAAAUUGAUUUUAGAACCAUGAUCAAUUAAUACUAUAAUUGGUUCUUCUAACUUUCUUAAUUUUAUUAAAGUUUUUAUUGUAGUCCUUACAUAAUGUUUUUGAAAGUAAUGAUUAGAGGCUUGAAUUAUAUCUUCUUCUUUUAUAAAUCUAAUUCAUGAAAUAUUUCCAAAUUUUUUCAUUCCAUCUUCAUCAUCUAUAUAGCUUUUCAUUGCCUUUGCUACUUGUGCAUUUAAUAUCAUAGUAUCUUCUAUAAAUUAUCUUUUUUUCUUUAUUGUAUCAAUAAUAACUUCUUAAAAUUUAAACUUUGUAAUUCCUAGAAUUUUAUUAGUUAUAAAUUCAACCCUUCUACCUAAAAUCCAUUCUUCUAAUAUCUUCUUCAAAUCAAUAGCAGUCCCAAUAUCAGAUUGUAAUUUAUAAGUAAGAGUCUUUUUUUUUGUUUGUAUUUUUUUUAUAAUUUUUCUUUCUUUUAUAGAAAUAUUCUUCAUUUCUUCUUCUUGUAUAGGAUUCUUUUAUUAUUGUGAUUUCUCUCUCUUUGUAGUUUUUUUUAAUGGCUCUUCAUUAUUUUCAUCUUUCUUUUAUUUUUCUUCUAUUAAUGCUUCAUAUUAAAUCCUUGCAAUAUAAACAUGAACCAAUAAUCCAUUUAUUGGAUUAUUCCACUCAGUAAUUUACCAAAUAUUAUUGCCAAAAAGUUUUAAAUGAUCUUUAGUAAUUUUUUUUUCCAGCAUAAUUCAUUGCACUUGACCACAAAGAACUAGAUUCUCUUCAAAAUUCAAGAUUUAUUCUUAAACUUUUACUAGAAUGUACUUCUAUCCAAUAUGUUGAUGCUUCAUUGCUUAAGAAUGUAUACACUUUAAAAACAUCUCCUACAAAUAUCUUCAUUCCUCUAUUUUUUUAAAAAAAAUUAAUUUUUUUUUUUUACUUUUUUUUAAGUAUAUCAUACCAUCUUUGAAAAAAAAACAAAACCUUUGCAUAAUGCUUCUAUAAAAUAUUUACAUUUCUUUAAAAAUAAUCCAAGUUAUCACACCACAUGCACCUAUGUACUAUAUCUUCAUUGGUUCAGAUUUUGGUCUUAUUGAUACUCUUGAUAUUUGACCCAUCUUCUCAAGUUUUUCAAAUUUUAUUUUUAAAUUUCUCAUUCUCCAUAAAAUUUCAUCAAUGUUCAUUUCUUUCAUUGAUAUAAUUAUUGAAGGUUGAACUAUAGAUAUAAGAUGAUUAAUAGGCAUUUUUAUCUUAAAUUUUUACAAUAAGCUUUAAACAUCCAUCAUGUCAUUUUUUAUUGCUCUUUUUGUAAGCAAUCCUAUUGCUUCUUUUUUGUUCUUCCAAUUUUUUGUCAAUCCUUCUUCUUCUUCUUCUUCUUCUUCUUCUUUAUCUUCAAACAACAUUUCUAACUUCUCUUGCAACUUUCCAUGAGUCACUUAAAAAAAAAUACUCUACUUUGCUUAGAUCCAAUAUAUAUAUAUAUUUUUUUAAUAUAUGAAAAUAUUAUCUUUCAAAUUCUUUCAGUAAUUAAGUUACUUAAAGAUCCUUCUUAGGUCUUUCAAUCCACUCAAAAAAUGACUUCUUUAAAAUCUAAUUACUAUCUUCUAAGAAAAAUUUAUUCUUCAAUGCUUGAGAAAAUUUCUUCUAUGAUCCUAUAAAACGUCCUAUAAUGGACUUUACAUGAUUUCUUAUUUUUGGAGAAAAAAAUAAUUUAAAUAAUUGAAUCAUUUCUUUCUCAGAAACAUGCUUUAAUUUUAUUUUUUAAUAUAAUAUCUUAAGUACCUUGUAAUAACUUUUCCUUCAAAUUAAUCAAUUUUAUUGACAAUUUCUUGUAAAGCCUUGUUUGCCAUACUUUCUUUGUGAUCUUUAUUCUAUUGCUAUUGAAUGAAUAGAAAAAAAGCCUCAAACAUGCUUGCAAAUUUGGAAUCAAAAUACAUACUUUGUCCUUCACUUAUAGCACCACUUCCAACUCUAUUUGAAGUACCAAUUGAAGUACCUCCAAAAGCUCUUCCUUUCAUUUUUUUUCUUCUUUUUUUAUAAUUCAAAUAAACCAAAAAAUCCAAAGACCUUUCACCUCAAGCUUUUUAAAUUGGAUUUAUUAUAUUUUUUUGUAUUUUGUGAAAUUUGCUUGAAAAUGCACCAAGCAUCUAGCUAUAGAAGAUAAAAUAUUACUUGCAACAAAAAAAUCCUAACAAGUAUAAUAAAAUCCUAAACAAACUACAAUUAAAUUAUAACAAUGCUAAUCAAUUUUUAAUUAAAUUCCAAAAGAAUCUUAAAGAACUUACAUAAAAAUAUCUAAAAAAUCAUAUAUUAAUACUAAAAAUAUAUUAAUAAUAAAAAAUCUUUAAAAAUAUUAAAAAUAGAAAUAUUAUUUAAAUUCUAAUCAAAAAUUAAUAUAAUCUUCAAUAAAUUCUAAUAAAAUCCUAAAUCAAUUCUAAUCAAAUAUGAAAUAAAUUAUAAUAAAAUUUUAAAUAAAUCUUAAUUAAAUCUUAUCUAAAUCAUAAAUCCUAAUUAAAUCUUAAUCAAAUUAUAAUCAAAUCUUAAAGAAAACUGAAGCAAAUCCUAAAUAUUAAAUAAUUUUUUAACAAUCCUACAAUAAAUUAAAACCUCAAUAAUUAAUGAUCAAAUCAUUGAUAUCAACUCAAAGUUUAUAUACUUCUUAAUAAAUUAGUUGAAAAUAAGAAUAAAAAAUGAAAUCAAUUAUAUUUAUUAAUUUAAAAAAAUAUUAGAUAGUCCUAUUGGAUAUUAGACAACUUCUUUCUCCAAUCUUGAUGCUGAGCUCCUAGCUCUAAUAUCUCCUUCUUAAAUCAUUGAAUUUCUUUCAAAAUUCACAAAAAUGUUGAAAAUCAAGUCUAAUACUCUUAAAAAUAAUUUUCACUUCAAUCCAACUAGCAAAUUUCUAAAGAUUUUAAAAACUCUUACUGACCUUUAAAUUCCAAUUUUUGAGAUCUUAAUCCACUUGAACUUCAACAACCUUCAAUCUUACUAUUUGAUUAAGUUCAAAUAUAUAACAUAUAUUUAGCACAAUUAUAUUUACAAAUCUACAAACUUUUACUUAUGAAUCUAUUACAAAACUCACAAAAUUCUUCAAAUUAUCAAUCCUAUUUUAUUUCAUAAAAACCAAAAUCAUCCAAAAUGAUACUAAUUUUGUAAAGUUCUUAUAAAGCCAUUAAAAAAUCAAAUGCUUCAAAAUUAAUGCUUAAAAAAUCUAAUCCUAUCUAAUCUUAAAUUUUAUUCUUUGAUUUACAAAAGAACUCCAAAAUUGUUGUAGGUAUGUUGUGUUGCAUCUUUGAUCUAAUUUUGAUCCAAAUUCACAAUUGAUCUUCUUUGGAUAUUAACUUUUAAUAAAUUAAGGUAAUUUUUCCUUAAGUCUAUUUUUAAUUCUCUCUUAAAGAUGCCUAUAUUAUUUAAUAAUCUCAUUUAUUAUGAUUUGAGAUAUUUAUGCUCUUGAAAGAUAAAUAGAAGUCAUUUUUAUAAAAAACAACAUUAAGACUAAAAAUUAUACUAUCUUCCUAUCAUUUAUCUGUAUUUUAUUACUACAUCUUUCUACUAGGCUUUUCUAUAAUAAUAUCUAAAUUUUUAUUUUUUAUCAUAUAUUCAUAUUAUUAUACAAUAAUUUAAAUUUAUUUUAUACAUAUUUUAUGGUGAUUUUUAGGUUAAAUACUUAGCCAAUAGGUUGAAUAUAUGUUAUAUAUAUUGAUUAUUUGUGAUAUAAAUUGACCAUGUGGUGCACAUGUGAAAUUUAUCUUGCAAAUUAGACAUAUGUCUUACAAAUUGGAUAUGUGUUGGAGGCCUUAUAUAGUAUUAUUAUAUAGUUUUUAUUUAAAUAGUAUACAUAGAAGCAAGAAUUAGGCUAUUCUUACUCUUAUCAAUACCUUUCUUGUUCUUAGUCUUGUUUCAAAAGUUUCUAAUCUUCUUAUCUUUAAUAAUAUCUAUUUUAGUUAUAUUACUUUAUUAUUUUUAAGUGAUUAUCUAUUCUUUUUAAUAUUACUAGAGUGUAUUAAUUCUUUAUUUAUUUUUGAUUCAUAUCUUUGAUAAUUUGCCAAUAGUAUUAAUUUUCUAUUUUUUAUUUUAUUUUAGAAGAUAGUGAAUUAUCUCACUUUUUUUUAUUGUGUCUUAAAGAUUGUAGACUAAUCACCUUAAAUCUAAUAUUUUUUGUCUUUUAAAAUUGAUUCUUUUAUUAAAAAAAUAGAAUAUUUUUUAUAUAUUUUAUUAUUUAAUAUUAAAAAUUAUGAAUUAUAUUCUUUUAAUUUGAUUUUUUGAUUUAUUAAAGUUAUUUUUUAUAGAGACAUUUUUUUUAUAGAUGCUAUACUUUGUAGAAGUAGGAAUUUAUAACUAUUGUAAUUUUUUAUGAAUUUUUUAAUAUUUUUAGGAAAAAAAUUUCAUGCAUUAUAAAUAUUAGGCAUAGAAGUAUUAUUCCUAUGUCUAAAAAAGAAGUUAAUAAUCAAGUAUAAUAUUUAUAUCAAGAAGUUGGGUAAUUGAGAAAAAUAAAUAGGUAUCAAGGACAUAAAUCAAAAAUUAGCAAAGGUUCAAUAUAUUCUUAUGUCAUUCAAAAAGAAUAUAUAAUCAUUCAAAGAUAGUAUGUAUUAACACCAAAAUGGCUAUUUCCAAAAAUAUAAAGAUUAGAGAUUCUUAAAAUAAUACUAAGAACAGAAUAGGUAUUCACAAGUGCGAAGAAGGCCUCUUUCUUACUUUUAUAUAUACUAUCUAAUUAAGAAUUAUGUGGCAAUAUUUUAUAGGACCUUUGACAUGUAUCCAACUUAUAAGUCAUUUGUCUAAUUUAUAAGAUAAUUUUCACAUAUGCACCAUAUAAAAAACUUCUACUACAAGUACCUAACUUGUUGGCCAAGUUUUUAAUCUACCAAUGACCUACAAAUAUAUAUAAAGUCAAAAUAUGUCUACAAAGCUUUUAAGAAGUUUCUUUACAAGAUAUUAUUAAAUCUAUUUACUACUACUUACUUCUAUCUAAUUUAUUUAAUUUAGAUAAAUAUGUAUGUCCAUAAUAGUAAAUCAACUUCAAAACUAAAUCUAAAAGUCUUACUAUUACAAGUAUGAGAGAUUUAAAGAUUAGUAUACAAUUAUUUUUUGAUAAAAUGAAAUCAAAAUUUUAAGGAUUUCUAUAAUAAGUCAAUUUCUAUGUAAGGAUAUAACCAAAUUAAUAUCUUAAUGGAUUUACUUAAGUUGGGUUUAAAGACACACUCCUAUCUAGAAGUAUUUUUUUUAUUUGCACCUUUAAUAAAAAAAUAUUUGCAACUUAUAUAUGAUCUAAAUUCAUUUAUGGAAGUGUUUACUAUCACAUCUGAAGAAAGUACUCAACAAACCAUAGCAAAGAAAAAACUCUCAAUUUUAUGACUAAAAUUGCAAUCAAUUGCCAUCUAUGUUGUCAAAUUUUAAAAUCUUAUUUGUGAUAUAGAUUGGAAUGACAAAGUCCUUAGUAAUCAAUUUUAAUAUAAAUUUAAAGAUAAUGUAUAAAUAUUUUUAUUAAAAAUACCAAAAGUAAACUUAUUGGAACAUUUUAUUAAAUAUGUGCAUAUAAAAGUGGUUAGUUGUUGUCUUUUGACUUUUGGAGAUGUUAUCCAUAAAACUAUUUCUAGAAAGAUAAUAAAAAAUAAUUAUUAUAGCUUAAUAAUAUUUAAUAUUGUUAAUUUUUUUUCUAAUUUACUUAUUUUAUAUUUAUUAAAUUAAAAAAUAUAUUUCUUAGAGAUAUUGGAUUUCUUAUAAUUUCAAAUUUUUUCAUAGCAUAAUCAAGACUUUUACUAAUGAAGAAGAAAAUUAUAAGUUUAAUAUGACUAAAACUUUAUUUAUAGGUUAAAAAAUAGAUCUCUUUUAUUUAUGAUAUCAAGAAUUUUUAAUUAAAAAAAUCAAGAAAAGAUCUAUAUAAAAAAUAGAUCUAUAAAUAAUAUAUAAUAUAAUAUACAUUAAAAAAAGAGAAAAUUAAAAGAAUAUAUUUAAAUCAAAUAUGGAUAUUUUAAAUAGAAUAUCGUACCUUUUGGACUCAUAAAUAUACUAAUUGCUUUUCAAGAUUUUAAAAAUGGUAUUUUUAAAGAAUUCUUAGAUGAUUUUAUUUUUUAUUAUGUAGAUAAUAUUUUAUUAUAUUCUAAAAAUAUAAAAGAACAUGAAUUUUGUAUUCAUUGUACAUUACAAAAACUUAGAGAUGCAAGAUUAUAUGCCAAGAUAGAAAAGUGUGAAUUUUAUAAAAAUCAAGUUGAAUUUGUAGGUUAUAAAAUUUUAAAUAAUAGAUUUAUAAUGGAUCUUUAAAAAAAAUUAAAUAUCAUAUAUUAAAAUAUUUUUAAAAUAAAUAAAUAAUAUUUAAUGUUUUUUAAGAUUUUUUAAUUAUAUUUAGAUUUUUAUUGAAUUUUUUUAAAAUUAUUCCAUCAUUUAUAUAUUUGAAUUAUAAAGAAAAAAAUUAGUGGAAAAAAGAAGCUAAAGCUAUAUUUAAAGCUUUGAAGAUAAUGCUUACAAUCACUCUAAUUGUAUAUAAUAUUGAUUUUUCUAAGAUAUUUUUUUAUAGAUGCACUAUUGUCAUACAUGAGAGUAAAUAACAAACUUCACCUUAUAGAUUUUCAUUCAAAAAAAUUUUUAGUAACUAAGAUCAGUUAUAAGAUUCAUAACAAAGAAAUUUUUGCAAUUAUAGAUUCAUUUCAAGAAUUGUGCUAUUAUUUGAAAGAUGCUUCUAAUUUAAUGGAUGUUUAUACAAAUCACAAAAAGAAUAUAUAUAUAUAUAUAUAUAUAUAUAUAUAUAUAUAUAUAUAUAUAUAUAUAUAUAUAUAUAUAUAUUAAUACAUAUUUUAAAUUAUUAUUCAAUUUAUUGAAAUACAUCCUUCUUAAGAUUUAUAUUCCAUAUUAUUUAUUGGAUAAGAAAAAAAAAGAUUUAAUAAAAGAUGCAUUUUUCAAAUGAUUUUAUCUUACACCAAAAGAAAAAAAAAUAGCUUUUGAUAUAAAAAAAUCUAUUUUACUAAAAUGGUUUAUUUUAUGUCAUGUACAAAAACUAUCACAUAUAAAAAAAAUAUCUAAAUUUAUUUUUGAUAAUAUCUAUUGCUAUAAUAGACUAUCAAAGGAAAUUAUAUCAAAUAGUAGAACUUAAUUAAUAUUUAGGUUUUAAAUAAUUAUUUUUAAGAUACUAAAAAUAGAUAUUAAAUCAUAUUUUAAUUUCUAAGUUCAAUGUGAUGGAUUAACAAAACAUGUAAAUUAUGUUUUGAAGCAAUAUUUAAGAUGUAUUAUCAACUAUUAUUAAGAUGAUUAGAUAAUUCUUUUAGCAUUGGUAUAAUUUGGAUAUAAUAACACAACACAUUCUUCUACUAAAUAAUCAUAUUUUUAUAUUAACUAUGAUUAUCAUCUAUAAUUUAAUAUUUUUGACUUUUAAAAAAAUAUUAAUCAUGUGAUAAAAGACUUAAAAAAUUAUUUAUUAGAUCUACAUGCAAUAAUAAAGGCACAAUUAAAAAAAGCUUAAGAACAAUAAAAGAUCAAUGCAAAUAUCUAUCUUAAGAAAUAAUUUCAAUUCCAUGUUAGUAAUAAGGUAAAAUUACUUUGUUGUAAUAUCAAAACUAUGUGUUAUUAAGACAAAUUAAAUUACAAUGGACUUUGAUUGUUUUUUAUUUGUAAACAAAUCAAUCCAAUUAUAUUCCAAUUAUACCUAUCAAAGUCUAUGAUCAUCUUCCUUCUAUUUUAAAUUUAAAACUUUCUCUAAUUUAAUCUUAAUAUUAUUUUAAGAUUAAAUUAGAGAAAGUUUUAGAUUUAAGGGAAUGCCAAAAUAAUUUGGAAUAUCUUAUAAAUUGAUAUAAAUAUGAUAUGAGUAUAUGCACAUAGAAGCCAUGUAAAAAUCUUGCAAAUAGAAUAAAGAAGUUCAAUGCUUUUUAUUAACAACAUCCAUUAAAAUCAAGUUAAAGAAUCAAGAUAAUUUUUACUAUAAAGCAAAAAAAAUUCAAUGAAGAUUUCAUUCUAUUUUCUAUCAUUUUUUUUAUUUUUAUAUAUUUUUAGUAUUAAAAAGUUAAAGAAUUAACAACCAACAGAUUCAAUGUAAGAAAUGUUGUUUGUUGAGUUAUCAACAAGACAUUGAAAUUGUCACAACUUUUAAGAAAAUAUAAUAGAUAUAAAGUUCCUUAAGAAUAACAUAUUCUUCUUCAAAUAAAUGAAAAUAUACAAAAUAUUUGAUAUUACAACCUUGAAAGAGAUUAUCAAUAUUUGGUGAUAUUAUUAGAGAUAGAAACCAUUCUUGAUGGUAUAUUAAAUAUUUUAUUUGAAAAAAAUUAUGAAUACUUCAAUAAUAAUUAAAUAAUAAGAUAAAUUUUUGUCAUUAUAUGGAAUAAUAUUAAUGAUUGAGAGGACCUAUUAACUACAUUUAAAGAAAAUAAAGACCAAAGCAUAUAGCAAAUAUAAUUUAUUUCAUCUUGGACUUUUUUAACAUGUAAUUAAUACUCCUUGUAGAACUUAUUUCUAAAAGGAGAGAUAAUGUCAUGGAUAUAAUUAAGACUAGAAAUUACUUAAAUAAGAGUAAUUAAAUAGAAAUAAAUUAAAUUAAAUAAUUAUAUAAUAUCUUAUAGAGAAGCUUCUUAAAAGUUUCAAAGAUGUAUAUUUGACUUUAUAUGUGUUUGUAAGUAAUUGCUAGGUGUUGUUCUCAUUGUGUUCAAGCUUCAAUAUACCAAAGCAAUUGAACUAAUAGAGGUGGGUUCGAAUACAAGGAAAGACUGGUUAUAUAAAGUGAAUCUGUUAGUGUCACAAUUGACUGUACUCUGGCUAUCUCAAAUCAAUUAUCAAAUUACAAAACACCAAGGCUUACUACUUCCAUCUUGAUUCAACACAUAAUCUAUUCUAUGACUAUCAAUUCAACAACACUUCUCUCAAUCACAAUUCUUCAUAAGUAAAUAAUAAAAACAAAGAAAACAAAGAGGUAGCAGCAAGCUUAUCCCAGCUUACGACUCUCACAGUCUAGCUCUCGACUUAUGACUCUCAUAGUCUGGCUCCGAUUUCUCUUUCUUCAAUCUCUUUAUGCUACCAAAAAGAUGAUCUAUUGGCCAGCGGAUACCAAAGGUUAUGACUCUUUGAAUUCUUAACCAUUUAUUCGACUAACAACUUACUAUUACCAACUAAACUACCUAGCCAUCAAUCUAAUUUUCAAGGUUAUCAAUAAUCAAUCAAUAACUUAUCACAAAGUUUAUUUACUUAUUCUACAUAGUCCUACUCUUAAUUGUGCAGCAUCUUCGUAAACAUUAUUUAGGCUCAAUUUAUAAAGACGUAGCAGCAUUGGCUUCUUCAGUCAAUGGCGUUGGCUUAUCACCCUUUAAAUUGGUGACCUUCUCUUCUUGACAUCUUAAUCAUCUGCCUCAGUAUUUGAGGGUUCUCCAUCCAAACGCAUCGUUAGAUCUUCAUUUAACAAAUCCAAUUCCCAUACUUGAGACUCACGUUGGGCAAUUUAGUUAUCACGCUUCUCCAACAUCUUCUGCCAUUCUUUUGUUAGUUUCAAAGGUAUCUCUAAAGGUAUUGUCGCUAAAACUGGCGUAUUGGUCUGCACUAAAUUAUUAGCCUCCUUUGCUAAUGCGACUAGUUUAGUCUGCAACAUCGCAACCUCUACAUGCAGCCGUUCUUGCCGUUCCUUCCAAUUGGUCUCCGACCUUACUUUCUCAAAUACCAUGUUCACCAUCUUCUCCUUAACCACAAAAGAAAAUAUGAUGCUUGUCAAGAGUCCCCCUCUUAUUUCUUACUAUGGUCCAAUCAAUUGAGUCAACUUCCUCUUUUAUAACAGAAAACCCGUCCUGGGUUUAUGUAUAGUAAAGUUUAAAUCAAUUGCCAUUGAUAUAUGUCAUAAAUUUAGUACCCAUAAAAUCUUCUUAUUGUACUGAAUCAUUUGGAAAUUUGUCAAUAACUCGAUAUGGCCCAUGCCAUCGAACUUGAAAUUUUUCUAAAUUUUUUUUAAAUCGACUAUCAUAAAGAAGUACCAAAUCAUUUGGCAUAAAAGCCUUUGGUCUAAGCUUACUAUCAUAAUAAGUCUUCCUUCAUUUUUGUGUAGUUUUUAUGAUCAUUAAUGGAUUGGCUCUAGUUUCAUCCAAUUUUUUUAAUUCUUCUAAACGGUGUCGUAAUGAAUCAUGAUCUCCCAAUCUAGUAUCUAUAGCAAUUUGUAAACUUUGGACUUCCAAUUCAAUAGGUAAUAUUGCUUCUUGGCCAUAAAUCAAUUGAAAAGGGGUAGCAUUGGUAGUAAUUUUAUACGCACUACGGUAUGCCCAUAAAGCUGCGAACAACUUAGUGUCCCAAUCCAUUUCUGCUCCUGAAAUUGUUUUUAUUAAGAUUUUACAUAAAAUGCCAUUAGUCUUUUCCAUUUGUCCAUUGGCUCUAGGAUAAUACGAUAUAGUCUUACAAUGUUUUAUCUCAUAUUUGGCCGUAAGUACUUUAAUUGUAUUAUUUAUAAAAUGAAUUCCUCGAUCACUAACCAAUUCUCGUGGACAACCGAACCAUGUAAUAAUAUUUUCAUACAAAAAGGUUGCUAUUGUACUUGCACUAUCAGUUUUCAUAGCUAUUUCUUAAGCCCAUUUUGUUACGUAAUCCAUUGCUACCAGUAUAUAUCGUUUUUGUCCAUUUCUCAAGGUUAGUGCAAUUGGUCCCACAAAAUCAAUUCCCCAUUUUUCAAAAGGCGCUUGAGCCAGAAUUGGUACCAAUAGCAUUGCUAAAGUUCCGGUAGGUCAACCCGUUCUCUGACAUGGUUCACAAUGAUGGACGAAUUGGUGGGCAUCUGCAAACAUUGUUAGCCACCAAUAACUAGCAUAUAAAGCUUUGCGAGCCGUGCUGUCCACCGCAAAAUAUCCACCACAACUGUCCAAGUGGCAACCUUUUAAUAUAUAUACUUUAGUCUAAUAAAUACAGCAUCGCAAAAUUCCAUCCUUGCCUUUUAUACCAUCGUAAAUCUGAAUGAUUUGGAGAGCCUCCUCUUUACCUAAAUUAAUUGGUUGACAUCGUGGAAUUUCAAGUGUCUUUGGAAUAAUGUUCUACUCAAUUCCAAAAUCUUUCAUAUAAUCCGAUACAUUAGAACUUUCCAACUCUAGUUCCAUAGCACUCAUGUGAUUAAUAUUCCAUCUAUUCAUCCAAUAUGCAAUCAUAUGAUCAGAAUCGUCAAUAACAUCUAGAGGAACUAAGUACUUUCUUGGUUUCUUACACUGGUAGUUCAUUCUAGUGUGCUCGACAACUUACCUUGUAUAAGCAUAAAUUGGGUCAAGUGUACGAAUUUCUUUUUCUAUAGACUCAUCUUCACAAUCCGACAUGAAUUUUGAAUUGGCAACUUGAGUUUCUCCGUGAUAUUGGACAAAGUACAUUAGAAGCACAAUUUUAUCAUUAUCUUUACCAAUUAUCAAUGUACCACGGCCCCAGUCAUUUCAAGCUUUAGCUUGAUACAACCACGGUCGCUCCAAUAAAAUUAAGUAUCAUAAUAUAGAGCUUUGUAAUUGAAAAAUAAUAUAAUCAAUUUUAUAGAUAAUCUCCGUAAUUACUAUAUCAAUACUUCAUAAAAUAUCCAUAGGUUUAACUCGACUGGAAUCAGCCAUUCUCAAAAUUAUUAUAUUAGGCAAUAGGUGAUCCAAACCCAGCUCCUCCAUUGUAGCGACAUUCAUAAGAUUUAUACUAGAUCCUAUGUCUACUUGCACUCAUGAUAGUAACACUCCAUCAAUUGAGAAACCCGGAUCGAGAUUCAAAUUUACUUCUCGGAUUUCUUUAUUUUGAGAUUUGCGAUGAAUUAAUGAGGAAUUUAAGAUAGUUUAACACUCAUGUGCUACCGCCAAUAGUUGCUUCAUAGAAAUUGUGGGUUGUAUAGUGCUCAAAUCUUUUAGAAUAUCAUAUGGUUCUGUAUUAAUGGUAAUUCUCAAUGUCCAUUUUUUCUUCCCAAUCCCAAACACUGAUGCAGAUAAAUUAGUUUUUUUUAUAUUGGAAAUUGGUAAAGCUACUGGAACUAAAUUUGAUGGAGCCUAUAAAAUCAGUUCUUUCAACAGGUAAGAUUGUUCUCCUAAUUAGACUGAUAUUGGUUCUUUGGAAUUUACCCCUCAUAGAAAAUCUUUCAACAAAAAGGAUGUUUCUUGAAACUGUAUAGAGAACAGAACAACUUGACACAAAACUGAAGCCUCCGUAAUCGGUACCUCAUUACAAUGCACAACCGAUUCAAGUCUUAUAUUGAAUAAAGGGUCCAUGUCAAGAUCUGGAUUGGAUGUUCCCAUAAUUGGAUCCAAUUGGCCUUUCACUUCAGGAUCACCUAAAUGUUGAAUUUGUCCUUUCUCCUUUUGCUGACUUCUUGUAUGGACAGCUUGAACUACUUCUAUCCAAUAAAGUGGUGAAUCUUGAGGACCUUGAUUUAUUUCCUCCAUUGUUCCUUGGCUUUGGAUCUACUGAUCUUGAUUAUUGAAAUUGAACGGAGCAUUACAUUGCUGAUAAGUAUGUCUCGAUUACUUGUAAUUUACACAUAUUGGCACAUAAUCGUCAUUGGCUCUAGGAUUGAGACAUUCACUCACAUAAUGACCAAUCUGUCUGCAACAAAAAUAACAAAGUGGUCUUCUUGCACCUCCAUCAGGCAUAUUGAGUGUCUCCUCCAGUAUAUACCUACUAGGCUUGUUCCAUAUAGGGUUAGAAAAUGAACCUAGUUGUCCCAUUGGUAUGGAAGGUACUUGAUUUGAUGAUACUAGUGGAACAUAUUGCUGAUACCUCUGCUACUCCCUCCCAUAGUUCUGAGGGUUUGAUGCAGACCCCUAAUUAAAAUUGGAACUUUGAAAAUUAUUGAAUGUUCGAUUUUGUCGAUUAGAUCGAUUUCCAUUCCAUCCAUACAUAUUUCCUAUUUGAAAUUAAUUGACUUUCUAUUGAGUUGGUGGGAUCAUGGUCUGAUUACUAAAUUGUUGUUGCUUUUGUGAAUGCCAGCAGUUUUAGGUAGAGUGCUUUCCUCUACAAAAUGUACAUUGAACACCUGUUUGUCUAGGUGAUGGACAUUUUGUAUCAAAAUGAUCUUGUUCCUUAUAAUUAUUAUACCAUACAUUAGGUCUCGUAUUAGAAGGCUUAUGUCGUUUCUCCUUAUCUUUAGCCAAAUUCACGACCAAUUCUUCCAUCUUCUUUGUUAGAUUUAAUAACAAGGCUUCAUUUGGAUCUUUAACAGUCGCAUUUGUGAACAACUCUGGUUGUUGAUAGGUUGGCAAUGUAAAAUAAGGUGUCAUUGUUAUUGGCAUUAUUGCUUGGAGUGGUGUAGCAUUAAUUGGUUGUUGCAUCAUAACAUUCUUCAUAUUGGAGGCAACCAUUUGUGGAUAAUUACUCGUCGAUACAUUUCCCGGUUGUAUUUGUUGGCUUCCUGAAUUUAGAAUCAUCAUGGCCCUAAUGUUAACAAUUGGUCAUAAUGACAUUCUUCCCACACCUUUGCUCGUGCCAACGAUGCUUCUACCGUAACUGGUCAAGCCUCUUUUGCAAAUAUUUUCAAUUCUGGUGGAUGGAAACCACUGAUUAAUAUCGACAAUAUAAAUGCAUCUGGCAUUUGAUUAUUUGACCAUUUACAAAUUAUAUCCAUGAUCCGACCAUAAUAGGACUCUAUUGAUUUUUCCGUAAAGAUCUUACUAUUCAUAAAACUUUCUUGAAGUCGAUCUUCAAAUCCAAUUGGUCUAAAAUGAGUUAGGAAGGUGUUACUCAAGGCCUCCCAAUUGAGAAAUCUACCCACUGAUUACCGAAUAUACCAUUCAAAAGUUGUAUCUUUUAAAGUUGUUGGCAACCAUCUUAACCAAAUGUCUUCAGUUCUACCAUUAUUAGCGACGUACACUGUCAAGAAUUGAGAUAUAUGGUGAUCAAGAUCAGAGCCUGACCAACUACUAAAAGUAGAUAAUGGUGCCACACUUGUAGUUCGGUCUCCUACUGCUCCCAUUUGUAUUGCAAUUUGUACUUCUGGCACUCCCGUGGCCAUUGGUAUUAUCACUGGUCUCCUUGCUAUUUGAAUUUGAAUUUUUCUUCUUUUGGUUUUACUUGGACCUACAAUUCCUUUUUGUCAUUUUCAUAGGGGAUUUCUUAUGCAUAAUCAUUCCUAUCUUCCUUUUGAUAAUCCUCUCCUUUAUGAUUAUCACUCAUAAUCUUUCAUUCUUCUUUACAAAAUCAAUACUGCCUUGAAUUAUAACUCAGAUAUUUGUAAUCCUACAAUUUGUUCUUCUCAAAUUCUCAUUCAAUAUAUAAUUCUAUCUCAUAUACAAUUAAUUUCUAACAUUUCAUAUUGUUAUCAUUUCCUCGGCAGUAGUGCCAAAAUGUUGUUCUUGUUGUAUUCAAGCUUCAGUAUACCAAAGCAAUUGAACUAAUAGAGGUGGAUUCAAAUAUGGGGAAAGACUGGUUGUAUGAAUUGGAUCUGUUAGUGUCACAAUUGACUGUACUCUGGCUAUCUGAAAUCAAUUAUCAAAUUACAAAAUACCAAGGCUUACUACUUCUGUCUUGAUUCAAUACAUAAUCCAUUCUACGACUAUCAAUUCAACAAUACUUCUCUCAAUCACAAUUCUUCAUAAGCAAAUAAUAAAAGCAAAGAAAACAAAGAGGUAGCAACAAGCUUAUCCCGGCUUACGAAUCUCACAGUCUGGCUCCGAUCUUUCUUUCCUCAACCUCUUUAUGCUACCAAAAAGAUGAUCCAUUGGCCAGCGGAUUCUAAAGGUUAUGACUCUUUGAAUUCUUAACCAUUUAUUCCACUAACAACCUAUUAUUACCAACUAAACUGCCUAGCUAUCAGUCUAAUUCUCAAGGUUAUCAAUAACCAACCAAUAACUUACCACAAAGUUUAUUUACCUAUUCUACACUAGGUUAAAAAUUUAGCCUCAUAUUGUACAUGUUAGCCACUUGUAGUACAAGUUAGCUAUGUAGUGCACAUGUAAAACUUAUCUUGCAAGUUUGAUACAUAUUGAAGGUCGUAUAGAAUGUCACUACAUAUCUCUUAAUUAGAUAGUAUUUACAGAGGCAAGAGUGAUGCCUUUCUCAUUCUUAUCAAUGUCUUUUUGGUUUUUACUCUUGUUUCAAAAGUCUCUAGUUUUCUUAUCUUUAAUUAUAGCUAUUCGUAAAAUACUAAUUUUGACUGAUUAUCUAUUCUUUUUUAAUAACAUAAGAAUAUAUUGAUUCUUUGGUUGUUUGUGAUUCAUGUCUUUGAUACUUUUUAUAUUAGUAAUAUUUGAAUUUCUUACAUUCUUUAUUAUUAUGACAAUCCAAGAGAUUGUAUAAAUUAUAUUAAUUUUUGUAUUUUAUAAUAUUUAUUAUUUUUAGUAUCUAUUUUAGCAUAAUUUUUUAUUAAUACUAAUAAAAAAAAUUGAAUGAAAAUAUAAAAUAUCUCAAAAGUAGGUAUUUUUAAUAUAAAAUAUUUAUGCAUAAUUAUAUUUUUAGAAUUAUUAUUAAAAAAAUUAAUUAAAUAUUAUUUCAAUAAGAAUAUAAUUUGUUUUAAAAAUUAUUUUUAUCUUAUCUUUUAUAUUUUAUUUUCUUUUAAAAAAUAAUUAUAUUAUAUAAAUAAAUAAAUAAAAUAUUAUAACUCAAUUAUUAUAAUUAAUUUUAUUACUCUAGUUAUAAAACAUGUGUGCUUUACAAUGCAUCUAACAUACUUCAUUUCAUAUCUUAAUAAGUAGAAUAGUAAUUAUUAGCUACCUAUAAAAGAUGCUCAAUGAAUUUUCUUGUAUAAAUUAAAAUUUAUCCCACUAUCAUACUAUUCUAAUGACUUAAAGGAAGUCUAAAAUCUACAAUCAAUCCUUACCACUUUCUAAUGUAGAUGGAAUGUUAUACAUAUUUAUAAAUAUAAAGAAAGUACAAAGAAGAAGUUGUUAAUUCAAUUAUAAUUGAAAUUAACAUUAGAAAAUAUAUCAUUCAUAUCUAUAGAUAUUUAUACUUAUAUAAGAUUUAUUUAAUUUUUAAAAGCAAAAAUGACCAUUGAAAAAAUUUGAAUUUCUUCCAGAAGAGAUUUUGUUUCACCAAAUAAAGCUCUUGGUAAAGUUUUGGUGCCAUUGCAUGAUUUUACCAAUUUUAAAGCAUAGGAUUCUAUUAAUUUUUUAUGUAGUGUCAAAUCUAUCAAAUCAAAAAAUUUUUAUAUUUCUUUCAUUUGCCAUCUUUUGGACAAGCUCUAUUUAAUCAAUUUAAAUAUAGUUGUGGAAGCCUUGUCAAAUUCUUGUUGUGACUUGUUUAAGCAGCCAAUCCUCUUUGUUAAAUGUCAUUACAUUAUGUUGUCAUAUUUUAUAAAAUUUGCUUGAGAAUACACGACACAUUUAAUUUUGGAAGAUAAAAUGGAAUUUGCAACAAUAAAUUCCUAAUAAUUCAAAUAGAAUCCUAAAAAAAUUCUAAUUAAAUUUUAAUAAUGCUAAUCAAUCUUUGAUAAAAUCUCAAAAGAAGUUUCAAAGAAAUUUCAAAAGAAAUAUUAAGAAAUCAUAAAUUAAUCUUAAUAAUAUAUAUAAUAAAAAAACAUAAAAAAAUAUCAAAAAAAUCUUAAAGAAAUAAUAAAAAUAAAAAUCUUAAAUAAAUCUUAAUCAAAUGUUAAUGUAAUCUUCAAAAAAUCCUAAUCAAAUUCUAAUCAAAUCUUAAAAAAAUUCUAAAUCCUAAUCAAAUCUUAAAUUAACUCUAAUUAAAUCAUAAUUAAAACUUAAAAUAAUAUUAAUAAAAUCUUAAAUCAAUUCUAAUCAAAUUCCAAGAAAAUUCUAAAAAAAUCCUAAUCAAAUCUUAAAUAAAUUAUAACCAAAUCUUAAUCAAAUCUUAAUAUAAUCCUAAAUCAAUCUUAAUCAAAUGUUAUAGUUGUUUAAAAUCUUGAUAAAUAUUAAACAAACCAUUGAUCUCAAUUCAAAUUUCAUCUAUAUUUCAAUGGACAUGCAAUUAAUAAGCAUAAAAAAAUAGUAAAAAAUCAAAUUCAUCUACUAAAAUAAAAAAGCUUCUAAAUCUCUCAAAUUUUAACUAACUUCUAGAUUCAAUCUAGAUGUUGACUUUUUAGCAACAAUGUCUCAUUGAAUUAUUCAAUUGCUUCACAAAUUAAAUAGUAGGUAGAUUUUUAAAUCAAUAUUGCUUUUAUUAAUUUUUACUUCAAUCAAACUAGCAAUUUUUUUUAUAAAUAUAAGACCUCUCAUUGAUCCUAAAUUUCAAAUAUUUGAGAAUAUAACCUAAUAAAACUCUCAUAUCCUUCAAUCUAACUAUUCUAUUGACAUCAAAUUUCUAAAUAAUAUUGUAACAAUAGACAAUAAAAAAAAUUAUAAUUUCACCUAUAAAUUUACUAUAACAUUCACUCAAUAUUCAAAAUUAUAAACUUCUUCUUAUUUCUCAAAAGCCUAAAGUAUUGAGUGCAUCUUUUAUUUUGAAAAGCCUUCAAAAACUCAAUAUGAUUCCAAAUCACAUGAAAUUAACUCUCAAAAAACCUUUCACUUUUUUGAUUUCAAAUUCUACUCUUUGAUCAACCAAAGUAUUCCAAAGUUUCCAUAGGUGCACAUUUUUAUGCUUUAGAAUCUAAUUUUAACCUUGAUUCACAACCGGUCUCUUCUUGAUACCAAUUCUUGAUAUUUUGAGGAAGUUUUUGCUAAAAUCUAUUUUUAAUUCCUUCUUAAAAAUGAUUAUAUCAAUUAUUUAUGUUAUUAUUUUGAUUUGGCUCAUUUAUAUCUCUACAAAAUAAGUAGAAGUCUUUUUUUUUAAAAGCAGCAUCAAUACAUUAAUUUUUACUAUCUCCUUAUCUAUUAUCUAUAUUUCUAAGAUAAUGUGCUAAAAUAUUUUUAUUUAAGUUCAUCUAUAAUAAAAAAAAAAAAAUUCUUCUUUCAUUUAAUAGCCAUAUUAUUAUAUGACAACGCUAUAGCAACAACUCUUAAAUGAUGAUUUUACAUAUGAAACUCCAAAUAAUCUUGGAUUUACCAAAUAAUUUUUAAAAAUUCUUACUAAAUAGGCAAUAAUCAUAAUCAAGGUUGAAGUGUACUUGUGGAGAGUGUGUUUUCUCUACAAUUCAUAGAUGACUAUUAAACAUCAAUUUUAUACUCUUUAGCCUUAUAACAUUGCCAAAAUCUAUAUGUGAUUAAUUUUGUGAUGCUUAAGUAAAACAAACAAGUAAUGUCAACGUUGAAAUUAAUCUUUUAUUGCCAUUUAUUGAAUGUAAUUACCUUAUAGUACACACUUCAAAUAAAAACUACUUCUUUUUGAGUAUAUUUCUUAUGCCGUAUAUUCAUUCAAUCAAAGAAAAUGUUUGAUGGGACCUAGUUCUUCCAUUUGGUGUUGUUUAAGUCUAUCCAAUCUUCUAAAUUAUGUAAAUAGGGCCUUUGUAUCCUUAGUUGUGCAAUUAAAGAUAGGAGUAUCUUUAGAUCAAUUGUAUAUUUUAGGAUUAAAGCAAAAGCUUAUAUUUAUUAAGAACAAAAAUUUGAUAGAGGCAAAUAAAUAAGUGAGACUUUUAUCAAAUAAAGAUGAAAAAAUAGAAAUAAAAAAAUAUGUAUAUUAAAAAGAAACUAGAAUAGCUAUUGCCAAAAGAUAAGAAAAUUAGAAAUCCUUGAAACUACACUAGAGGCAAAAAAAAAAAAUUGACAACAGUAAAGAAUACUUUGUUGUUAUUUUUAUAUAUGCUAUCUAUCUAAUAGCUACAUGACAACAUUCUAUAGGACCUCCAACACGUGUCCAAUUUGCAAGACACAUGUCGUAACUUACAAGAUAAGUUUCUUAUAUGUAUGCCACAUUCUUAGUUUGUACCACAAGCUACUAAUACAUGUAAUAUGUGAUUAACUUAUUGACUAAUUUUUUAAUCUAUCAAUCACUUGUAGAUAUGUAUAAAGAUAAAAUUACAUCUAUGAAGCUUUUAGAUAGCUUUCUUAAAAGAUAUUAUGAAAUUAAUCUACUUUUAUCUACUAUUAUCUAUUCAUUUUAUCUACUAUUAUCUAUUCAUUUUAUCUAAGUAAUUAUUAGAAUAAAUAUGUAUAUUCAUGAUAAUAAUAGGUAUAUAAAAAAAUAAAAUUAAAUAUAAUUAAGCACUCUUUAUCAUGUCAAUUACUAUCACCUUAUUAAAGAUGUAUUAUAUAUUAUUCUUGUAUGUAAAGUCUAGAGUGCAAGCACUUUAAAUUGCUUAAAAGAAGUUAAGCCAUAUUCAUAUAUCAAGGAUUAGAAAUAAGAUUUGUAUAGCCUAGGUAAUUAAGUAUAGUUUAUCUUAAAGUUUUUCUAUUAAAAAAUUGACUUUUUAAUCACAAGGCACCUAAAGACCAUAACUUAUCCAUAUGAUAAGGAUUAAUAUAGCAUUGUAUUUUGGAAUAUAUAGUCCGAGUCAAUUACUCCAAUUAAAGAUUUUAGUAUCUACAUUUAAUAAUUUCUUGUAGAUUCUUUGAUAAUGAUUUACCCAUAUUUGUUCUUAUUGAUUAGUUUGAAUUUGUUCUUAAUUGCAUGCCAUGGAAUGAAGUCCACUAUGGUUAUUAAUCAAUAAUUGUUAAUUAUUCAAAAAUCUUUGUUAAAUAGUUUUGCAAUCUAAAGUCUCAAGAACUUAAGGUGGAAAUUUAAUGCAAACUUUAGAUUGUAUCUUAAUUUCAUAUUCAGUAUCACCUUAAAGGGUGUAGUUAGUUGAGACAAGACUUAGAUAAUAAUCUUCUUCGAUGCUCAAUUUAAUUAUUUCUAUAUCUUUGAAUUAAGAAUGUUCUAGUAAUUUGGUACUAUGAACCAAGUAGAAUCAUCUAACUACUAGCUUCUUUGCUUAGGUUGAAAGAAAGAUAACUCAUACUUGAGAAAGAUUUACAAGUUUGAUUGGCCAAGCUUACAAUCAUUAACCAUCUACUUGCUAAGAAGUGCAUCAUCUGGGUUUAUGAGGCUCAAAUUUUUAAAUUGCCUCUUGUGGAUAUAAAGUCUCUAUGCAACUCAAAUGCAUGUUGUUAUUGUUGUCUUGUAAUAUGACUAUAUAGUGAAACUAUAAUUAAAAUUAAAUUUCUAAUUAAUAUCUAUUUAUUUUGAUUCAAUAAUAAUUGAAGGUAUCUAAAUAUGGCUUUUAUAAAAGCCUUAGUUUAUUUUCUUAUCUUAAUAGUUAGUAGGUUGAAGGUUGGUUAGUACUUUUAGCUUCUAGGUUAUAGAGACUCUUUUAUUAUGUUAAAAAGACCAUAAAUUAAUAAAAUCAGGUUAAAAGAGAUUAGUAUAGUUGUUAUUAAGAUUAAGUUGAAGGUAGGAUUAGGCUAAAAAAUCUUUGGAAUAGAUUAGAUUGAUACCCGAGGAUCAACCAUUUGUGAGACACGAUCAAAAUCAGACCUCUGGCCACUAAAACGACUACCUAGGACAAAAUAGGGUUUCAUUCAAAGAUUAGAGAUUAGAAUUUGAGAGCUAGGUUGAAUCUUGUUUUAGAGACAUAAGGCUAAUUUUGGUAGGAUUUGUUUGGACUUUUCAAUUAUUGUUGAAAGUCAAGUUUUGUAUUGGCAACUUGGGAUUUAUGCAAUAAAAUUAGAGCUAGCACUCUUGGCUAGUUCGUAAAAUUGGUCUCAAAUCUAUAGUUCAAAUUUUGGUAGUACUUGGUUAAUUAGGUGUGCUAAAUGUAUGUGAAAUUUUGUGAUAAUCCAAUGAUGCAAUUAAGAGAUAUUUGGAUUUUGGUACAAGAAUACAUCAAAAGUUGGGAGUUUAGGGUUGGAUAGGGUUUUUGUGAUAUCUAAAGAUCUACAAGUCAAAUUAAGGUGAAAUUUGGCAAGGUAUUGGAAGACUUGAAGAUCAAGCUACACACCAAUUUUGAAUUAAAGUUAAUGGUUGGAUAAGGAGAAAUCACUCCUGGAACGUUUGCAUCAACUAUCAAGUUAGCAGCCAAGUAACAUCAAUGUGGUUUUUGGACAUUUUCUUACAAUCUACAAGUUGGAUUGAAAAGAAUUCUUAUUAAGCAUAUAAAAGAAUUAUAAUUGCAUUUAUAAAAAAAAAUUUGUUACAAGUGAAUGGUUAGAUCACGAGCUAUAGUAUACUAAAGCUUACUAAUUAGGAUUAAGGUUUGUAAAAAAGAUUCACAAUUACCUAAUUAUUGAAGUAAUAAGGCAAUUGGAAUUUAUAUAUGGUUGAUUACUAAGAAGAGUUUUUUUGAACACUUUGUAUUGGAUUUAAGCACUUUUGAAAUAAAAUUAAAAUUGCAUUCUUCUUAUAAGGAUGAAACAUAUUAGGAUUUUUGGAUAUUUAUAAAAUACAAUCUGACUUCUAAAGCCAGAUGCCCAAUGCAUUCCCAAAUAGGACGACUUGUUGUCAUGAUGUAACACUAUUAAUAGGUGAAAGAUUAUGGAGAUUAUUAUAAUUUAGGAGAUCUUAGUUCAAAGUAUUAGAACAAAUUAUCUUAGAAAUAUAGUUAAUAGUCAAAGGGGUAGAAAAAUUAAAAGGUACCAAUGUUGCCUUUUAGAAAGGUAACUUCUACUUACUUUGUAGUACCAUAAGUAAGGCAAAUCAAAGUAGAUUGAGAAAAAUAAAGGAUAUAGGCAUAUGAAGGGAAGAGUUAGGAGUGAAAAUUAGUAAAAAUUACCUCAAGAAGACGAAAGUUGAUAACCAAAGAGGACCGGUUAUGAACCUAGGUCGAAAUCAGACCGCGAGGCACAAAACCGUGCUCUAACGGCAACUCAAGGACUCUUUGGCAGAUUGGAGAGUAGGGUUCGAUAGAAGAUUGGAUAAGGUUUCUGUGGGCAUUGAUUUUGAGUGAUUUGGAGUUGUAAUGACUUUGUAAGAGCUUUGCAAAGUCAACAUUUAUUUCGGAUGUUUUGGAUUUUAUGAAAUAAAAUAGGGUUUAUAUUUUAGGUGAUUUCCAAAGUUUUUAGUAGAUCUACGGGUGAAAUUUUGUGGGAUUAUGAUUAUAGUUGUGUUUAAUAUGUAUUGUUAAUUUGAGAUUGAUCUAACGGUUGAAUUGAGGAAUAUUAAGGUUUAAGUGGAUCAAGGUCUCAGAAAGUAGAAUUUUAGGUCUAGUAGGAUUUUUUAAGAUUUCGUGCAAUCUACUAGUUGGAUUGGAGUGAAAUUUAUGUGAGAAGAUAUUAGACUUGUUUUUCUAUGUGUAUGAAAAUUUUGAGAUGAAUCGAAUGGUGUAAAAGAGAGAUAUUGGCUCUAAAAGAUUAGCAUCAAGAUUGGAGAAGGAGGCCGGCCAAUACCCGAGCACAUUUUUGAGGUUAUCGUCAAUUUGGUAACUCCGAUCCUUUUCAAUUUUUAUGUACUUGUUUUGAACUUAGUUUUUAAGAAGUGUGAAAAAUUUGAGUUAAGAUCAACGGUUUAUUAAUUAGUUAUUGAGGUUUAAAUCUGUUGUAGGAAUUACUAGGGUUUGGUUUAGGAUUUGAUUAGGGUUUGGUUAGGAUUUGGUUUAAGGUUUGAUUAGGGUUUGGAUUAGGGUUUGAUUAGGAUUUGGUUAGGAUUUGGUUUAAGGUUUGAUUAGGGUUUGGAUUAGGAUUUUAUUUAGGAUUUAGGAUUUAGGGUUUGAAUUAGGAUUUGAUUUAGGAUUAGGAUUUGAUUAGGAUUUAGUUUAGGGUUUAGGAUUUGGUUAGGGUUUGAUUUAGGAUUUAGGAAUUGGAUUAGGGUUUGGUUUAGGGUUUAGUUAGGAUUUUAUUUAGGAUUUAGGGUUUGGUUUAGGAUUUGGUUAGGAUUUGGUUUAGGAUUUGGUUGAGGUUCGGUUUAAGAUUUGUUUAGGAUUUGAUUUAGGAUUUAGAAUUUUAUUAGGAUUUAAGAUUCAAUUAGUUUUGGCCUAAAGUUUUAAUGAAGUUCAAUAGGAUUUUAACUAGAAUUAAAUUAAGAUUGAAUUGUGAUAUAUUUGAGUGAUAUUUGUGAUCCUUCUAACAUUUCUUUAAGAAUUCUUAUUUUUUGUUUGAAAUUUCUUUGAGGUUUUUAUGAAUUUGAUUAAGCUUACUUAAUAUUAUCAUGGUCUAAUUAGAGCAUUGUUAGUAUUCUAUUAGAAUUAGGAUUUUUUUAUUAUAAUUUCCAUUCUUCUUUCUAUAGCCAAGUGCUUGGAGCAUUCUCAAGCAAGACUUCACGUAUUACGACAACAUAAUACAUCAUGUUGUGGUUUGGCUACCAUGUGAAAACAUUAUGUUUAUAUGUUUGAUAUAUAAUUUACUAAGUAACAUGAUAAGAGCCAUGUUAGUGGAUUUUUAUUAGUUGUAGAAUGUAAUUAGAUUACUACUUUAAAAGGAAGUUGUUUAAAAGAAUUACUAUUAGAAUUUACAUAACUUUAUUUUCUUUUGAUAGUGGCUUUUAAGAUUAAUUUUGGUUGAUAGUAACUUUUACAUAUUUAAAGUCACCUUUAUUAAACAUAAGUGAUCUUUGAAGUCUUAUUUUAUUUCUUUUAUUUGAUGUUUAGAGCAUAUAUUAUGUAAAUCUUAUUAAAAAAAAGAUUGAAGAAGGAUCUUGGAAGUAAAAAGAAAAGUUAGGACAUCCAUAUGGAUGAAUGGAAAUAGAUGAUAAAAAUCUCUAUUCCUAUUGGCCAAAAAUCAGGUCCAAUGGGCUUCAAGGAGGUUGUCCAAGGCCUUAUUAGGGAUUAGGAUUACUUUUUUGAUGCCAUUUGAGUUUUGGAGGCUUAGACUAGCAAUUUUAGGUUUUUGGCUAUGGUUUUGGUACAAAUUUUGUGUGAUUUGGAGUAUAUAUGAAAGAGAUAUGAAUGCUCAAAACUAAGGUGAUGAUUUUGUAUCUACUAUCACACUUUUGAAUACAACCUAUAUGUACAAAAAAGAAUGCAGGAUCGGUGAUCAAAGUUGAAGAGAGCACUUUCUUGGCUAUACUUUUUAUAUACUGCUUGAUAAAUUCUAAGUUGGGAUGAUAGAGAUAUGGGAAGUUGAAGAUAAGCCUUGCAAUCUAAAGGUAGUAAGUAAUCUAGUUUACUAGUAGUUUUGUUUUGUGCUAUAUCUUGAGUAAUUUGAUAAGAUUUUGAUUA